UCGGCCUCCCCCGCCUCCACCGAUGGCGCCGCUGGUAAGCGCUGCUGGCCGGCCGGCGUUCCCACUCCUCAACUAUCCCUCGACCUCAUCCGUGGAGGCCUGAGGCUGCCUCAGCUCCUACCGCCCCCUGGUGACUGCGGUGAAGAUCAAGGCUAGGUCAAGCCUGCACCGGCUUCAAUCCAAUUCAUGCCCACAGGAUCAUCCCUCUAAUUGCUCACUUCGGGUAAUCUAUUCCUAGAGUAAUAAAGUGCCCUUUAUAGAAAAAAAAACUAUUCCUAAAGGAGUGCAAUGUAACCUCGGGUUGUUGAUCCUAUGUUAUUCAGUGAAAGAUGGGGCAAGUGUAUGUAUUGCUCCAUCAAUUGGGGGCAACGGUUAUAGAAUAUAGACAGAAAUAUUUCAAUUGAAGGCAUUGGGUAUAGGAAUAAGUAUUUGACCAGUACUACCAACAUAUGUUGGCUGUAAUUCAACUGGUGGGGACUGGAUUUUCUCGAGGUGCAGUUUCAUGUGAAACUUUAUUUAAACUAUACGGAUUCAAGCUGCUAGACUGCCUGCCAGAUGUUCGAUGAAAUGCAUCAACUAUCUAACAUGCACUACUACAGGAUAGUGGCAGCGGAGGAAUCCUGCAGUUGGAGUGGAGCAGAGUUGCAUGGACGGAGGGUAUCCGGAUGGCGGCGGCCUCAUGCGGUGCUUUCACGACGACCCCCAAAUGGCCUCCUCCCCUGGCAGAAGACCCGGCGGUACCAACUACCAUGGAUCACUUCGCGGUGGUGGCGGGUGAUAGAGGACCGAUGCACGCGUACGAGGUGGACCUGUAUCAUGAAUGUUGAGCGUGAGAUGGUAAAGAGGAUCAUUUGAUGGCAGCCUUCAGCAAGGUCUGCCCUCUACUACGUCACUUCCUCCUGCCGAUGUUGUGGCCUUCAAGAUGUUACUGCAGCGCUUGGCUUGCUGUUCCUGCUAUUCUGUCCAUGAUCUCUAGGUUUCCACCUUUUGCUAACAUAACUCUCCUACAUAGUAUUAAUUUCAGUUGCUUGAUGGUAGGAACAUACGGGUGCACUACGUGAACCGCGGAUGAUCUUCUGCUUUUGUCGACAUCGGUAAGAUGCCUAUUCGAUAUUGUUUCUACGAUGUUAAUCAUGUAUGUUAAACCGUGCAUAGUGAGCAAUUGGUGCCCUCAUCUUAUGACUUGAAUAUGUCAUCAAAUCCCACGAAAAUAACUAUCCACACGUAAGUGUAUUACGUAUUAUGCAGCAUGUUAAAUCAUGUAUUAUGUAUGUUAAAUUUGUAAUGUUUAACAAUUCAUGCCCCUGAUCCUAAAACUUGAAUGUGGCAUCGAUUCUCUCGGAAUAUAUCUGCCCAUCCAAUAUUUGUAUUGUGUACGAUGCAGCAUGCAUGCCAUAUUGUAUCUAUUCAGACUGCCACUGGCUCUGCAAAUUAGAGCUUACUUUUGAAGAACUUAUUUAGUGGGGAGCAGUAAUUAGGGUAAUUUUACCAAUAGGGGAGUGUAUUAUUCAAGCCCACAUGAGUCAGUAGAGAUUCACAAUGGAGAGAUAUACUGUGAAUCAUCUCAUAUUUAACUCAACCACCCAAUCAUAUAACACAAGAGUAGUCGGAGAGAAUGCCUUAUGUAUAUGGCCUACAGCAUACUGCCUUCUAGGAACCAGAUUAAUAUUCAUCAUUUAGCAUGGCAGUAACAAAGAACAAGAACCAUAAUACGUACUAUUUAUAGUGUAAUUUGUCCAAUUUUUUAAUUUACAUUAUCAAGCAAGCAGAAUAGUAUCCAUGUGAUAGCAUAAAGACCCUCACAAAACAAUUUCUGCAUAAAGGUUAGAACAGUUAAAAAUAAAAUGUUGCAUGGAACGCUGAAGGGCCUUAUAUGUUUUACUUUUAGGUAUGAAGUCCGUGUCCUCCUUAUUUUUCGUUAUUAUUGUCUGAUUUCCGAUACACUCUCCAAUGCACAUUCGUUGUGUUGAGAGUCUGAUUGUUAAAUGAAAUGAUAAACAUGUACCCUGGAAUUUUGUACUUACAUGAUCAUGGCACAUACUCUAAGUCCAGUCUUAAACUUAUUGCUUACAACCUUUUAAAAAUACGGUUUCUUGCAUGCAAAGGAACAAACGAAAAUAACAGCAUUAUCUAGGAGAUUCUGCUUCUUUUAUCGUAGAAUGAUGCAGGGUUUCAUGCCAUUACAUCUGACAUUUUGGUUGCUUCCGGGAGUAAAGAUAUCUACUUGGGUUUUCUCUCGAAGAUUGCAUUUUCCUUACAUAAUCCAUUUAAAUUUGGAGAUUCUCACUCACUGGUUCAUGUAGAAAGAGAAUGUAAACUGUAUCCACUUUUUCUUGGAUCAUUUGGGAUUGCUGAAUGGAAAACACUUUCAAGGCACAAAAUCUAUGAGAAUCAUGACAAGUAAUUGUACCGAAAAGGAUUACUGUCCUAUCUGGCAAUCUGUAUUGAAUUAAUUUAAGCUAGAACUGAGAAACAAGUUAGCUUCAAAAAAAAAAAAAAAAUAGUUAUUUCGUGCUCAAGUAUUCCUAAAUAGCUGAACAGAUUGAGUUCAUUGCAGUAAAUUUCUUUUGAAAACCUAACAUUGAUGAUGCAAGUUUCAACUGGACCAUAUCAGCUUAUUAUAGACAUUCUUACACUUCGAAUGCAAGUUGGAAAUAAUUAUUUCCCGAAGGACAACUACAGUUGCUCAAUGAGAUGCUGACUGGAAUCUCCAAGAAGCAUAUUUCUUUUCAGUUGUUCUCCUAGCUGGAAUCUCUAGAGAUGCUGACUGGAAUCUAUAAUUUUUGUGCUAUUUUGUACAAGCCAGAUUGGGUGGCCCAGUUUAUCCAUCCAUACACACACAAAAUUACCAGAGUAUUUGAAGUUCGUUUUGGUAGCAAUGCUAUGUCCGUAGGCUGAUCAAUCCUUCAUCUUGGUAGCUAGCUCUGAAUAAGAUCAGUGGUAUGUACGGAAGAAGUUCGUUCUGGUAGCAAUGCUAUGUCUGUAGGCUGAUCAAUCCUUCAUCUUGGUAGCUUGCUCUGAAUAAGAUCAGUGGUAUGUACGGAAGCCUUUUGUAAUCAUACAUUUUGUCUGUAUGAAUGACGUGCUAUGUAAUCUGUCUAUAGUGUUUGGUCAUGCACUGCUUAAAGAUUAUGAUGAGUCCAACCAACAGUUCUAUGUAUGAUUAUUCAUAUCCUCUGUAUUUGCACUAUGUGUAAACUGGGUAGCCCAGCUGUUUAGUGAUGUUUACUGUUCUUCCA